rnacentral:rRNA from 1 species
GACGAACGCUGGCGGCGUGCUUAACACAUGCAAGUCGAACGGAAAGGCCCUGCUUUUGUGGGGUGCUCGAGUGGCGAACGGGUGAGUAACACGUGAGUAACCUGCCCUUGACUUUGGGAUAACUUCAGGAAACUGGGGCUAAUACCGGAUAGGAGCUCCUGCUGCAUGGUGGGGGUUGGAAAGUUUCGGCGGUUGGGGAUGGACUCGCGGCUUAUCAGCUUGUUGGUGGGGUAGUGGCUUACCAAGGCUUUGACGGGUAGCCGGCCUGAGAGGGUGACCGGCCACAUUGGGACUGAGAUACGGCCCAGACUCCUACGGGAGGCAGCAGUGGGGAAUAUUACACAAUGGGCGGAAACCUGAUGCAGCAACGCCGCGUGCGGGAUGACGGCCUUCGGGUUGUAAACCGCUUUCGCCUGUGACGAAGCGUGAGUGACGGUAAUGGGUAAAGAAGCACCGGCUAACUACGUG